AUUGAACGCUGGCGGCAGGCUUAACACAUGCAAGUCGAACGAGCGGCGGACGGGUGAGUAAUGUAUGGGGAUCUGCCUGAUGGCGGGGGAUAACUACUGGAAACGGUAGCUAAUACCGCAUACCAUCAGAUGAACCCAUAUGGGAUUAGCUUGUAGGUGAGGUAACGGCUCACCUAGGCGACGAUCCCUAGCUGGUCUGAGCGGAGUAUCAGCCACACUGGGACUGAGACACGGCCCAGACUCCUACGGGAGGCAGCAGUGGGGAAUCUUGCACAAUGGGCGCAAGCCUGAUGCAGCCAUGCCGCGUGUAUGAAGAAGGCCUUCGGGUUGUAAAGUACUUUCAGUCGGGAGGCGUUACCGACAGAAGAAGCACCGGCUAACUCCGUGCCAGCAGCCGCGGUAAUUC
rnacentral:rRNA from 1 species